rnacentral:sRNA from 1 species
AGCUGAUGCAUACGGUGGCUUUUCCUCCCAGUUCCACCGCAUUGGCUGUUCCCCUCUGGAGGUUUAGACCUUCAUACCUAUAAAGGGCCCCGAAUUUUCGGUGGCCCUCUUUU